rnacentral:rRNA from 1 species
GAUGAACGCUAGCGGCAGGCCUAAUACAUGCAAGUCGAGGGGCAGCGCGGUAGCAAUACUGGCGGCGACCGGCGCACGGGUGCGUAACACGUAUGCAACCUACCUUCAACUGGAGGAUAGCCCGGGGAAACUCGGAUUAAUACUCCAUAACACAGGGAUCCCGCAUGGGAAUAUUGUUAAAGCUACGGCGGUUGAAGAUGGGCAUGCGUUCGAUUAGCUAGUUGGUGUAGGUAACGGCUCACCAAGGCUACGAUCGAUAGGGGGUCUGAGAGGAUGAUCCCCCACACUGGUACCUGAGAUACGGACCAGACUCCUACGGGAGGCAGCAGUAGGAUAUGGUCAAUGGGCGCAAGCCUGAACCAGCUAUGCCGCGUCGCAGGAAGAA